GAUGAACGCUAGCGGCAGGCUUAAUACAUGCAAGUCGAGGGGCAGCGCAGUGUAGCAAUACAUGGGCGGCGACCGGCAAACGGGUGCGGAACACGUACACAACCUUCCUACAAGUGGGGAAUAGCCCAGAGAAAUUUGGAUUAAUACCCCGUAACAUAGCGAUGUGGCAUCACAUUGCUAUUAUAGCUUCGGCGCUUGUUGAUGGGUGUGCGGCUGAUUAGAUAGUUGGCGGGGUAACGGCCCACCAAGUCUACGAUCAGUAGCUGAUGUGAGGGCAUGAUCAGCCACACGGGCACUGAGACACGGGCCCGACUCCUACGGGAGGCAGCAGUAAGGAAUAUUGGACAAUGGACGCAAGUCUGAUCCAGCCAUGCCGCGUGAAGGAUUAAGGUCCUCUGGAUUGUAAACUUCUUUUAUAAGGGACGAAAAAAGGUCUUUCUAGAUCGUCUGACGGUACCUUAUGAAUAAGCACCGGCUAACUCCGUGCCAGCCGCCGCCGUAAAAC
rnacentral:rRNA from 1 species